CACCCAACCCAAACCUUAGACAUCUUCUCUUCUCUCCUUCUCUUAUAUGCCGUCGCCGCCCUUCUCCAUGGUGGAACCACCGCCCGCCGCCGUCCACCAGAGUCCAAACCACCCCAAAAGUUUAUCAUAUCUUCCUCUCAACCUCCUCUCCAUGAAUCAAAGCCACAAAUCCUUUAAUUCUCCUUCAAACUCCAUGAAUUUUAGAUCUAGAAAAACCCUAGCCGCCACCUUUAUGCCCAAAUUCGUGAAGUUCCGUCCACAACCAUCCUACAACACAUAUAUGAAUGGAUAGAGCUCUACCAUGCCUACCCUCUUGCCUUGGUCUCCACCCGAAACUCCAGCCGAAUUCCGGCGGCCACCUCCCCCGGCUGCACUACCGCAGCCGCUGCUCACUCUUCUUUUUUCUUAUUUUUUUUUCCUUCUUUCCCUUUUGCCUAGAUAUGACUCGAGUGAUAUUUUCACGCUAGCACAAUACCAAGAUCCAAACUGGUUCGCCGAAUCUUUGGUUUAGGUGUCUGGUAACGUGAAAAGUUCGCUCGUAGUCGAUUUGUCGUUGUCCGAUAUACUUCGCAUUUCGUCGCUACUCGAAUUAGCAUUAAAUCCUUUUAUAUGGUAAGAUCCUAAUUCCUCUUUUCUUUUUCUAAUUUUUUGUUUUGUGUUAAGUUUGGAUUUAGUUAAUUUUGGUUCUGAUUUUUGUUUGUUUGUUAUUGUUUAGUAUAAUAUUACUUCUGAUAUUAUGCUUAGUAAACAUUUAGUCGGUUUUAAUUUAUUUGUUGAUUUUGGUUAUCUAAUUUCCGCAUUCGUUUGGAUUUAAUUCCGGAUGUUUGAGUGCUGAAUUAUCUGCUUUUGACAUUGUUGAAUCAGUAAUUGAUAAUAGAGUACAUGUUUGGUUGUAAUGUACUGUUUGUGUACUGUUUGGAAUACAAAACUCCAAAAAUCUGCCUCUAGUUGGUAGAAUACUAUCUCUUGGAUAGAUUUUUUGCCAAAGAGCUGUCCUUUGAAUAGUAUUGGACAGUUUUUUGUUAAAAAUCUGUCUUUUGAACAGAUUUUCAUAAUGAAAUCAUGUUCCUCCUCUCCUAUAAAGAGAGGGUCCUUCUUUCACUUUAAGGAGGAGUUUUUCAACACACAUCUCUACACACUAAAAGGGGCAUCAGAAAAAAGAGAGAAAAAGAUAAAAAUUUCAGCAACUUUUUUUCCCAGAAAAGAGUAAUAAAAACGGUAAGAAGUCACGUGCUCUUAGUUUGAAGCAUUAGUUUUUGGGAUUUUGUUUUGCUAUUUUCUUCUGGGAUUCCUUGGUUUAGAGUUACUGGGGCUGCUAAUUUACUAUUGUGACUGCUGGUUUGGAGCUAUCUGAAACUUGUAAUUUGCUUCUUGUUUCAUUGCAUUAGUGGAAACAAAAGAAAUAGAGUUUCUACUCUAAAAGUUAGUUUGUGUUCUCAUUCUCUACUUUCCAUAUUCUUAUUGUAAAUUAACGUUUUAUGAAAGAACUUGUCUUAGUAGAGGAAUUCGUUUCUAUAUUUUUAGUUUCAAUGUUAUAAAUUCUAUUGUUGAAUAUUUAAGGUAUUUCCAUGAUAAAACAACAUGUUGAUUUACUUUUCUUCCUUUGGUAUUAAGCAAGGAUUAAAUAUUUUUGGUGCAGAUUAGUUUUUCUUUGUAGUUACAUGACAAAUGACAUCUAUGGUGUAGUUGUAAGAAUGUAUUUAUUUUAAUCUCAACCUGUUGUUGAGCUAAAUUAUAUCCC
rnacentral:lncRNA from 1 species